UGGGGCAAUUGUGAGUCAGAUGAUUAUCAUUGUAAAAUGGUUAAUGCUGUCUCUGACCCGCAAUGGCACCAGU
rnacentral:pre_miRNA from 1 species